GUGGCCAAAUGACGUACCCACGUCCUCCGAAGAAAUCCCAUUUUUACACUGUUAGCCGAUAGCGUAGAAAGGGGUUAGAGGAGACGGAAAAAAUGGCGAUUUCCAUUUUCAGGCCUUCUGUUUCUCUUCCUCAACAGUUUCUCUAUUCAAUUAAUCCCCAAAAAUUUAGCUCAAUUUCUGUUAUUAGAAAGAAACAGAGUUUUCUUCGUUGCGCUUCAUCGGAUUCUGCUCCUCCUCCGACUAGGCAAGAGAUGUCAUUAAGUGUUGGAAUGUACCUAAUUCCUCAUCCCAACAAGGUUGAGAAAGGUGGAGAAGAUGCAUUCUUUGUGAGCAGUGAUGAUGGGGAAGUGAUUGUUGUUGCUGAUGGUGUUUCCGGUUGGGCUGAAAAGAAUGUGGAUCCUGCACUGUUCUCCAGAGAAUUGGUGGCUAACGUUUCUUCUUUGGUGGGGAAUGUGAAGGUCAAUGAUGAUCCUCGGAUUCUCAUAAAGGGAGCCCAUGCUGCUACAUCAUCUAUCGGUUCAGCUACGGUAAUUGUUUCUGUAUUCAAGAACGGAAUUUUGAAGAUAGGCAGUGUUGGGGAUUGUGGACUACGGGUUAUUCGUAAAGGUCAGAUGAUUUUCUCCACAUUUCCACUCGAACACUAUUUUGACUGCCCAUACCAGUUGAGCUCAGAGUCUGUUACUCAAACAUACCUUGAUGCCAUAGUUAGCACGGUGAACUUGCAAGUAGGAGAUACAAUUGUAAUGGGCUCAGAUGGCCUCUUUGAUAAUAUUUUCGAUCAAGAGAUUGUUUCAGUUGUGACCACAAAUGAUGAUGUCUCUAAUGCUGGCAUUAGCUGAUUUGGCGCGCAAUCAUUCUGUGGAUACCAAAUUCGACUCCCCUUUUUCACUGGAGGCUAGAGCAAGGGGAUUUGAUGUUCCUUGGUGGAAGAAAGUAUUUGGAAUGAAGUUUACAGGAGGAAAGCUCGAUGAUAUUACAGUCAUUGUUGGAAAGGUGAAGACUAUGUGAGCAAGCUGGCCUGAACACCACUGAUAUUUUCAACAACAAAAAAAGGUCGUGAACAUGUCAUAUAUCUUUGGUGCCAAGACAUUGGCAGGGUGAAUCAUUGGGCAAUCGAAUGGUGUUUUAAACUACGAGUUGAAGGAUGAGGUAAGACGAGAACAACUUCAAACUACACUCGAUCAUUGUUUUUGUAUUGUAA